ACGGGAGGCAGCAGUGGGGAAUAUUGGACAAUGGGGGAAACCCUGAUCCAGCGACGCCGCGUGAGUGAAGAAGUAUUUCGGUAUGUAAAGCUCUAUCAGCAAGGAAGAAAAUGACGGUACUUGACUAAGAAGCUCCGGCUAAAUACGUGCCAGCAGCCGCGGUAAUACGUAGGGGGCAAGCGUUAUCCGGAUUUACUGGGUGUAAAGGGAGCGUAGACGGUCAUGCAAGUCUGAUGUGAAAGGUGGGGGCUCAACCCCCAAACUGCAUUGGAAACUGUAAGACUCGAGUGCCGGAGAGGUAAGCGGAAUUCCUAGUGUAGCGGUGAAAUGCGUAGAUAUUAGGAGGAACACCAGUGGCGAAGGCGGCUUACUGGACGGUAACUGACGUUGAGGCUCGAAAGCGUGGGGAGCAAACAGGAUUAGAUACCCUGGUA
rnacentral:rRNA from 1 species